rnacentral:rRNA from 1 species
GCGAAGAAGUAUUUCGGUAUGUAAAGCUCUAUCAGCAGGGAAGAAAGACUCGUAAGAGAGAUGACGGUACCUGACUAAGAAGCCCCGGCUAACUACGUGCCAGCAGCCGCGGUAAUACGUAGGGGGCAAGCGUUAUCCGGAUUUACUGGGUGUAAAGGGAGCGCAGACGGUCAAGCAAGUCUGAAGUGAAACCCCACGGCUCAACCGUGGGCUUGCUUUGGAAACUGUUUGACUAGAGUACUGGAGAGGUAAGCGGAAUUCCUAGUGUAGCGGUGAAAUGCGUAGAUAUUAGGAGGAACAUCGGUGGCGAAGGCGGCUUACUGGACAGCAACUGACGUUGAGGCUCGAAGGCGUGGGGAGCAAACAGGAUUAGAUACCCUGGUAGUCCACGCGGUAAACGAUGAAUACUAGGUGUUG